rnacentral:rRNA from 1 species
AGUCUUCGGACUGCGGAAGAGUGGCGAACGGGUGAGGAACACGUAAGAAUCUGCCCCUCGGUCGGGGACAACUCUUGGAAACGAGAGCUAAUACCCGAUACGCUGUGGAGUGAAAGAAUUUCGCCGAGGGAUGAUCUUGCGUCUGAUUAGCUAGUUGGUGUGGUAACUGCACACCAAGGCGACGAUCAGUAGCUGGUCUGAGAGGAUGGACAGCCACAUUGGAACUGAGACACGGUCCAAACUCCUACGGGAGGCAGCAGUGGGGAAUUUUCCGCAAUGGACGAAAGUCUGACGGAGCGACGCUGCGUGAAGGAUGACGGCCCGCGGGUUGUAAACUUCUUUUCUCGAAGAAGAAACAAAUGACGGUAUUCGAGGAAUAAGCAUCGGCUAACUCCGUGCCAGCAGCCGCGGUAAGACGGAGGAUGCAAGUGUUAUUC